CAUCUAUCCUUUUUUUUUUCUGUUUCUGCCCCUCGCAUAUGCACCGGAGCGACGCCGCAGAAUAGCAUGACAAACUUUGUGAGGAAAGGGGCGGCAGGCCGUGUGAACGCAGCGCGGUUGUACGCCUUCAACAAGACGCUCAAAAAGGACGCGCUUCGGGAGCGCACCUACUGGGAGGAGAACAAGGACACCCACCCCAUCAACCGCUGGUCCUACCGCCGUUGGAAGGAGCGCAACGAGGAGCUGUCCAUGUUCGAGGAUAAACUGAGCAAGGUGCCGGUGGAUCAGAAAUUCAAAAUCAAGAAGCUCCUCACCGUGGCCAACGUGUCCGUCAUCGGCCCCAUCGUCUUGGUUGUGUAUUUCACAUUCUGCUACUUCCGAUAUCGCUGGUGGGGCAUUACGCCCAUCGACGGCACUAGCGCCAUCGCCCGCGCCAUCCAGAACCUUCCACGACCACCAGGCUACUAAUCUACCGGCAGAAGACGCAGUCCUCCCCCCCCUUCUCGUCUGCUGGCCUCAUUGUUAUGUCGACGUCGCGCACCUCGUCAAGAACGAAAACGGCCACGGCAUUAACACAUCAGCGGGCUUUCGUGCGUGGUGCGUGAGAGGUGAGCAAAUGAGCACCGCCACCAACGCUCUCGCCACCAGCGUACGCACACGCCUGCGCUGUCCCCCUGCCUAUCACCCUCUUACUCGCAGAUGCGCACCUGAUGCACAGCCUGCCAACCAACAAGGUCGUCUCUUUUCCUCUCUCUCUCUACACCGCCCCGUCUCCGGCGCGUCGUUCUUGUUGCCUUCACCUUUUCCCAUCCUCUUCUAUCUUCUUUGGGCUCCUCAACCGGUGAGCGGGCCCCGCCCUUCGCCUCUCCUCGCCUCCGUGUGCUUUUUUGUGGUUGUCGUCCUUUGCCUGUCCUACGCCGAUUCUUUCGCGCCCACGCCCGCCUCCUUUCUGUGUGGUCGGGAAAG
rnacentral:misc_RNA from 1 species